GUAGCCUACAACAGGAAUGAACAAAUAGAUAGUGUUUCCGGCGGCGAUUCCGCCGGCCCCUCUCCUCUUCGAUGUCCGGUCCGGCGUCGGAGAGGGGGUGGGCCGCGGAAACGUCGUGCGGAUGUAUAUAUGGUAGGUAGAAGUCUAUUUAGGCCUAGGGUUUACUCAUCGUCGGGGUUCGAUGGCGGAGCUAGGGUUUGCUGCGGAGGAGAGGCCACCGUGCUCGUUGUGGGGUCGAUGAGGUUGAGUUCUUCCUUCGGCGGCAGCUGUUCCUCCCACUGGUCGUCAGCGACGGCGGCAAGUUGGGAUGGAUUUUGUUCCUGCAGAGUAUUUCGGUUUACCAAUCUUGGGUGUCCGCCCUUUGAUCUGCAUAGGUAAGUUUGGGGGGUUGAAGCUCCGGUGCGUGGAUUGGAUCUCACGGAAAUGGCUUCGGUGUCUGAUCUAGUUGAGGAAGAUGAACAGUAGGGGCCUCGAUGUAAUUUGCGUGUUUCUCAGGGUCUUUACUGUAAAACUGAGAUGUACUGUUCUACCUUUGCUGUAAUAAAAGUUGCAUAUCUGUUUAGCAAAAAAAAAGUUUCUA